AAUGAACGCUGGCGGCAGGCCUAACACAUGCAAGUCGAACGGAUCCUUCGGGAUUAGUGGCGGACGGGUGAGUAACGCGUGGGAACGUGCCCUUUGGUUCGGAAUAGCCUCGGGAAACUGGGAGUAAUACCGGAUAAGCCCUUCGGGGGAAAGAUUUAUCGCCAAAGGAUCGGCCCGCGUUGGAUUAGGUAGUUGGUGGGGUAAUGGCCUACCAGGCCGACGAUCCAUAGCUGGUUUGAGAGGAUGAUCAGCCACACUGGGACUGAGACACGGCCCAGACUCCUACGGGGGGCAGCAGUGGGGAAUCUUAGACAAUGGGGGAAACCCUGAUCUAGCCAUGCCGCGUGAUCGAUGAAGGCCUUAGGGUUGUAAAGAUCUUUCAGUUGGGAAGAUAAUGACGGUACCAACAGAAGAAGCCCCGGCUAACUCCGUGCCAGCCGCCGCGGUAAGAC
rnacentral:rRNA from 1 species